rnacentral:rRNA from 1 species
UACGUAGGGUCCGAGCGUUGUCCGGAAUUAUUGGGCGUAAAGAGCUCGUAGGCGGUCUGUCGCGUCGGCUGUGAAAACACGGGGCUCAACUCCGUGCCUGCAGUCGAUACGGGCAGACUAGAGUUCGGUAGGGGAGACUGGAAUUCCUGGUGUAGCGGUGAAAUGCGCAGAUAUCAGGAGGAACAGCCGGUGGCGAAGGCGGGUCUCUGGGCCGAAACUGACGCUGAGGAGCGAAAGCGUGGGGAGCGAACAGG